GCCGCUGCCUCCGGGCCCGCGCCUGCACGCGAAGCCGCCCUCCGCCCACCCCGCCCAGCGCACAGGGGAGCGGGCUCCGCCGAGGCCCUAAUGCCCGGCCUGCCAGGCAGCGGCGCGGCCAGGCGGCGCAGCCCCGCCCACCCCUCGGCAACCCCUCCGCGGCCCUUGUGCGCGAGCCGGGGAACUCCGGUCCGUCCCCACCCCGCGCGCGGGGGUGGCGGCGGCGAUCUGGGAGAACCCUGGAGGGGACCAGCUGCGACACCCACCGCGGGCGAGGGGACGGCGAGCCCCCGCUGCCUAAACAGAAAACGGAGGCGAUGAUCUGGGUAACUACGGGCGGAGUGGGAGGAAACCUGCUCUGCACAGUUAAGAUAACCCGGGUCCCCAGAGCACCAUCACUUCUAAGACUGUGACCUGCUUACAGAUCCACUCCUCUGCCCCCACAGUCCACAUGUCCACCCUGGGGGCCAUGGCUUAUUGAUUCUUCCAUGUAUCAGCCCAAGAAUCCCCUGCUGCCUUCUGAAUAAAGGGUGCAAAUACACGAAGCCUGCUCACGAAUCAACAUAAAACUUGGCUUCCGAUCCCGCUUCCCUGCCUGUCUGCUUCCACACUUUUCACUCACGGACUUUCCUGCUCCCCCGGGCACCUUGUCUCCUUUUCCAUCUGUGCUGACCCUUUGGCUUAGUGACUCAGCUUUUGGAUUGGCCACUUGGCUGGGCCCUUGGUCCCUGCAAAACUGAGUUUCCUGUAUCUGUGCUCUGUCAACUCUGAGUCAGCCAAACAGCUGAGGUCAUUCUCUACUUGUCACCACCGAUGAGGACGGAGAGCCAACACCACCAGUCAGUCACCCAAGCUGGAAAUUUAAGCAUCAUCAUUUCUUCUUUUCCUUCCCAGCCCUCCCAUCGCUGCUUGCAGGCCAGUGAGUUCCACCCCAGGAAUGUUCCACCCCAGUGUAUAUAUUUCCUUCUGAAGUCCCAUCCCCAUACUGCUUGAGAUCGGGGCUCAUAAUUCCCCCAAUAAACCACUGUCCAGCCUCCUGCCUCACCUCUAUCUAGCCUCUAGUCUGUGCCUCCAGUUCUUUACACCCUGCCACAGUGACUGCAAGUCUGGUCCCAGUGCUGCCCUGCGGAGAAACCUCCACAGGUUCCCACUGCCAGGGGACCAAGUUGAAGCUCUUUGCGAGAACUGCGCCCUCUCGCUAUGGCCAGCCCACCACUCCAGCUCAGCCCUCCUCCCACAGGCCACACUUGUUCAACACGCUGAACCUUUGCCUUUCCCAAGGGCUUCCACCAUCCUUUAAAUCUGCCCACAUUGUUCCUUCUGCCAAGAGUGACCAUGUGGUCUGGUUUGCCCAGAACAACCUGUUUACGCCUAUUUUCUGGUGUAAUUAUUAAUUAACCACCCUCCCCCUCCACCCGCCCAAGUGUCCUGGUUUGAACAAGUUACAUGGUCAGAUUACAUUUGCCUUAAUUCUUCACCUGGCAAAUCUCUGCU
rnacentral:lncRNA from 10 species